rnacentral:rRNA from 1 species
AUAUGAGUUUGAUCCUGGCUCAGGAUGAACGCUAAUAGUAUGCUUUACACAUGCAAGUUAAAUAAUGAAAACAUUAUAGCAAACGGGUGAGGAAUUUAUAAAGAUAUUUUUACCUUUUAGUCUCCAAUAAAAAUAAUUUAUAUUUUUAUGAAAAAUAUAAAAAUAAAAUAUGGGAUAUAAAAUUUUACAUUUUUAAAGAUAAUAUAUAAAAAAAACAUAUAUAAUUCGCUAAAAGAUAACUUUAUAAAAAAUUAGGUUGUUGGUGAUGAUUAGAAGCUCACCAAGCCUUUGAUUUUUAGUUGAUCUGAGAGGAUGAUCAGCCACACUGGAACUGAGAAAGGUCCAGGCCAUUUUUGGCCAGCAGUGAGGAAUAUUGGACAAUGAACGAAAGUUUGAUCCAGCAAUACUAUAUGAACGAUGACAGCUGAUUAUUAGAGUUUAUUUAGCAAAUUACUUUAAGUAGGAGUUGCUAAUAAACUCUGGUUGUAAAAAUUCUUUCAUUAAAGAAGAUAAUGCCAUUAUUUAAAGAAGAUUUAGUCCCGGCUAAUCUCGUGCCAGCAGCCGCGGUAAUACGGGAGGGGCAAGCGUUAUCCAAAAU